GAUGAACGCUAGCGGCAGGCCUAAUACAUGCAAGUCGAACGGUGUCUUCGGACAUAGUGGCGCACGGGUGCGUAACACGUAUGCAACCUACCUUACAUUGGGGGAUAGCCUCUCGAAAGGGAGAUUAAUACCGCAUAAGACAGUAGCUGGGCAUCCAGCAGCUGUUAAAGAUUUAUCGAUGUAAGCUGGGCAUGCGUCCAAUUAGCUAGUUGGUGAGGUAACGGCUCACCAAGGCAAUGAUUGGUAGGGGAACUGAGAGGUCAAUCCCCCACACUGGCACUAAGAUACGGGCCAGACUCCUACGGGAGGCAGCAGUAGGGAAUAUUGGGCAAUGGACGCAAGUCUGACCCAGCCAUGCCGCGUGCAGGAUGAAGGCGUUAUGCGUUGUAAACUGCUUUUAUACAGGAAGAAACGACUCUUGCGAGAGGCAUUGACGGUACUGUAUGAAUAAGCACCGGCUAACUCCGUGCCAGCCGCCGCCGUAAUAC
rnacentral:rRNA from 1 species